UACGGAGAGUGCAAGCAUUAAUCGGAAUUAUUGGGCGUAAAGGGCGCGUAGGCGGGAUAAUAAGUCAGAUGUGAAAUUCCGAAGCUCAACUUCGGAGCUGCAUUUGAAACUAUAAUUCUCGAGGAUUGACGGAGAAAACGGAAUUCCACGUGUAGCGGUGAAAUGCGUAGAUAUGUGGAAGAACACCUGUGGCGAAAGCGGUUUUCUAGUUUAUACCUGACGCUGAGGCGCGAGAGCAAGGGGAGCAAACAGG
rnacentral:rRNA from 1 species